GAGUUUGAUCAUGGCUCAGGAUGAACGCUGGCGGCGUGCCUAAUACAUGCAAGUCGAGCGAGUUCGCGUUUCGAUCUGAAGGUGCUUGCACUGGAAGUGACAAACAUUUGAACGAGCGGCGGAUGGGUGAGUAACACGUGGGUAACCUGCCCUUAAGUGGGGGAUAACAUUUGGAAACAGAUGCUAAUACCGCAUAAACCCUAGCACCACAUGGUGCUGGGUUGAAAGAUGGCGUAAGCUAUCGCUUUUGGAUGGACCCGCGGCGUAUUAGCUAGUUGGUAAGGUAACGGCUUACCAAGGCGAUGAUACGUGGCCGAACUGAGAGGUUGAUCGGCCACAAUGGGACUGAGACACGGCCCAUACUCCUACGGGAGGCAGCAGUAGGGAAUCUUCCACAAUGGACGCAAGUCUGAUGGAGCAACGCCGCGUGAGUGAAGAAGGCUUUCGGGUCGUAAAACUCUGUUGUUGGAGAAGAACGGUCGGCAGAGUAACUGUUGUCGGCGUGACGGUAUCCAACCAGAAAGCCACGGCUAACUACGUGCCAGCAGCCGCGGUAAUACGUAGGUGGCAAGCGUUAUCCGGAUUUAUUGGGCGUAAAGCGAGCGCAGGCGGUUUUUUAAGUCUGAUGUGAAAGCCUUCGGCUUAACCGAAGAAGUGCAUCGGA
rnacentral:rRNA from 1 species